GAUGAAGAACGUAGCGAAAUGCGAUAAGUAAUGUGAAUUGCAGAAUUCAGUGAAUCAUCGAAUCUUUGAACGCACAUUGCGCCCGUCAGUAUUCUGGCGGGCAUGCCUGUUCGAGCGUCAUUACGCCCCUCAAGUCCCCUGUGGACUUGGUGUUGGGGAUCGGCGAGGCUGGCUUUCCAGCACAGCCGUCCCUUAAAUUAAUUGGCGGUCUCGCCGUGGCCCUCCUCUGCACAGUAGUAAAACACUCGCAACAGGAGCCCGGCGCGGUCCACUGCCGUAAAACCCCCCAACUUUUUAUAGUUGACCUCGAAUCAGGUAGGACUACCCGCUGAACUUAAGCAUAUCAAUAAGCGGAGGA
rnacentral:misc_RNA from 1 species